rnacentral:rRNA from 1 species
AUAUUGCACAAUGGGCGCAAGCCUGAUGCAGCCAUGCCGCGUGUGUGAAGAAGGCCUUAGGGUUGUAAAGCACUUUCAGCGAGGAGGAAGGCGUUGUAGUUAAUAGCUGCAGCGAUUGACGUUACUCGCAGAAGAAGCACCGGCUAACUCCGUGCCAGCAGCCGCGGUAAUACGGAGGGUGCAAGCGUUAAUCGGAAUUACUGGACGUAAAGCGCACGCAGGCGGUUUGUUAAGUCAGAUGUGAAAUCCCCGAGCUUAACUUGGGAACUGCAUUUGAAACUGGCAAGCUAGAGUCUUGUAGAGGGGGGUAGAAUUCCAGGUGUAGCGGUGAAAUGCGUAGAGAUCUGGGGGAAUACCGGUGGCGAAGGCGGCCCCCUGGACGAAGACUGACGCUCAGGUGCGAAAGCGUGGGGAGCAAAC